rnacentral:rRNA from 1 species
ACUUAUUUCCAAACUUCGAACCUUCUUGUGGUGUAUUUACCUAACAGUGAAAUACCCAGUUAAAUUAGCGUUACGAGUGGGCUCGAACCGGUAAGCGGUUCUGGCGAAAUGGGAUGAACCAUACGUUAGAAUAAGGUGCCUAAGUGUACUACCACUGAUACCAUUAAGAGAGUCCAUGUAUUAAAACAGCAGGUCGGUGCCCCUAAAAGCAGGCGAUCCGCUAAAGAGUGUGUUAAAACUCACCUGCCGAAUACUCGGGCCUCGAAAAUGAAUGGCGCAUAUAGUACCACCGAUGCCUAACACUUGUUCGAUUGAACAAGGAGUAGGGGGAUGUGGACAGUUUUGAGAAGGUAACACGUGAGUGUUACUCGAAGACUGUCUAUUACAGAUCCUAAUUGAAGUAGCGAUUAUCCAGGUUAGUAUCCUGGGGGCUGAUGAGGAGUAGGGUUUCUGGGCAACUUAAACAGACCCAGAGUUAGUCGAUCCUAAUCAAGGCAUUUUUUUCUUGAGAAAGGGAGUACAGUUGACAUUCUGUAACUGACAACAGUUUGCGGCAACGCAUACUAUUUUUCUCCGUCAAUCUUAUACCGUUUGGUAGGGAUUUCUUUCCUACAUGACAGUGCUAAGGCCCAGGGAAACUGGUCAACAGGCGAACUGCGGUCUUGUAUUCUGGCAAAAUGUAGCUCCGGUUACAUCAAUGGCUAUUGGAUUGGUCCAUGAAGCGAAAAAUAGUUUACUGUGUCACUCGUACCGAUAACCGCAUCAGGUCUUCUAGGUGAGUAGCCUAUGGCCAUUGAGGCAUGAUAGUUCAGGGAAUUCGGCCAAUUAGAGCUGUAACUUCGGGAUAAAGCUUGGCUCUGGUGAAAAUCAGAACCGAUUGUUACGCGGAGAGCCCAACUGUUUAAUAAAAACGUAGUGUCGCGCUGUGCUCAUAUAGGCAGUGAACGCGACAUGAAUCCUGCUCAGUGCUGUGUCUGUUAAUAUGGUUCAAGCCAACGAAGCACCGGUAAAUAGCUGGGGUAACUAUGACUCUUAUCAAAGUAGCGAAAUACCUCGUCACUUAAUUAGUGACCUGCAUGAACGGAGCUAUGAGGUUCUCACUGUCCCAAACUGUCUCUCAGCGAACCAACUGUAGUGGGAACGGGCACUAACUAUCCAGCGGGGAAAGAAGACCCUGUAGAGCUUCACUUUGGUCUAGUCUUGUAUAGUUCUGGCGGGGACUCAGCUAGGUGGGAGAGCAAUCGACCAUGAGAAACCACUGCCCUGUUUAGAAUUAUACUUACCUUUACAAUCAAGGAAUAGGACUAGAUAGAAAGUUUGGCUGGGGCGGCACACCUUCGAAAGAGCAGCGAAGGUGUCCUAAGUUGAGCUCAGUGAGGACAGAAAUCUCACGUUGAGGAUAAGGCCAAAAGCUCAUUUUACUGUGCCUUUUUGUACUAGGACCAGUUACGAAAGUAAGGCCUAACGAUCCCUAAAUAGCCUCAGGUGCGUGAGGAUUGGGGUGACAGACAAGUUACCUCCGGGACAACUGGCUUGUGGCUGCUAAGAGAUCAAAUCAACGCAGCUUUUUGAUUCUUCGAUGUCGGCUCUUCCUAUCCUAGUGAUGUACAAGUUGCUAAGGGUUGGAUUGUUCACCCGUAUUAGGGAUCGUGAGCUGGGUUUAGACCGUCGUGAGCCAGGUUUGUUUUAUCCUACUGGAUAUCGCAUCAUGAUAGUAGAUUGAUUAAGUACGAGAGGAACCGUUGAUUAUGGCCUCUGGUUAGCGAUUAUUGGAAACAAUAUUGUCGCGCAGCUACGCCGUCUGGGAUAAUGGCUGAAGGCCUCUUAAGCCAGAAACCCAUCUAAAGAGUGAUGCAUUUGUAUGACAUGAGAAAGAAUAUAUUAUAAGUCACUCAAAGUGUCAUACUUGAAAACCCAAUGUAGAAGACAUUGAAUGAAAGAGGGUACUGUAAGUAGUGGAGUGGCAUUACGUCCACGACCUACUGAGGUUCAGCCUCAUUUCUUAGGUUCCAAAUGUAUA